rnacentral:rRNA from 1 species
UACAGAGGUCUCAAGCGUUGUUCGGAUUCAUUGGGCGUAAAGGGUGCGUAGGCGGCGCGGUAAGUCGGGUGUGAAAUCUCGGAGCUUAACUCCGAAACUGCAUUCGAUACUGCCGUGCUUGAGGACUGGAGAGGAGACUGGAAUUUACGGUGUAGCGGUGAAAUGCGUAGAUAUCGUAAGGAAGACCAGUGGCGAAGGCGGGUCUCUGGAACGGUACUGACGCUGAGACGCGAAAGCGUGGGGAGCGAACAGG